GAUGAAGAACGUAGCAAAAUGCGAUAAGUAAUGUGAAUUGCAGAAUUCAGUGAAUCAUCGAAUCUUUGAACGCACAUUGCGCCCGCUGGUAUUCCGGCGGGCAUGCCUGUUCGAGCGUCAUUUCAACCCUCAAGCCCCCGGGUUUGGUGUUGGGGAUCGGCUCUGCCCUUCUGGGCGGUGCCGCCCCCGAAAUACAUUGGCGGUCUCGCUGCAGCCUCCAUUGCGUAGUAGCUAACACCUCGCAACCGGAACGCGGCGCGGCCAUGCCGUAAAACCCCAACUUCUGAAUGUUGACCUCGGAUCAGGUAGGAAUACCCGCUGAACUUAAGCAUAUCAAUAAGCGGAGGA
rnacentral:misc_RNA from 1 species